rnacentral:snRNA from 1 species
GGAUGCGAGCGUGAUCUGGCUAUGGCAUCCUCACAUCAUUGGUUUUGAGGGCUCAUCUAGCCAUCUGGCUAGCUAGACAGAUGUCCCAUUCCUCCUCACAGUUCGAAGUGCAUCCCUAUAAGCUGCAUGUCCCCUUAGAGGAUGAAGACCUUCUCCAACUUCUCCAAAUAUAAACCGUUCAUUUCGGUCCAGGGUAUAUGGGUUGCUGUACUCCCUUCUAGAAUCUCUAAGCACGCUCUUAGAAUGCAUAAUUUCAAGAGAUAAAAGUAUCUCUUGAAAUUGAUAUUUCAAGAGAUACUCACUUUUUCAAAGUGAAAAGGAGCAAUAUC